UACGUAGGGUGCAAGCGUUAUCCGGAAUUAUUGGGCGUAAAGAGCUCGUAGGCGGUUUGUCACGUCUGCCGUGAAAAUUCGAGGCUCAACCUCGAACUUGCGGUGGGUACGGGCAGACUAGAGUGUGGUAGGGGAGACUGGAAUUCCUGGUGUAGCGGUGAAAUGCGCAGAUAUCAGGAGGAACACCGAUGGCGAAGGCAGGUCUCUGGGCCACUACUGACGCUGAGAAGCGAAAGCAUGGGGAGCGAACAGG
rnacentral:rRNA from 1 species